rnacentral:rRNA from 1 species
UACAGAGGUCUCAAGCGUUGUUCGGAUUCAUUGGGCGUAAAGGGUGCGUAGGUGGCGCGGUAAGUCGGGGUGUGAAAUUUCGGAGCUUAACUCCGAAACUGCAUUCGAUACUGCCGUGCUUGAGGACUGGAGAGGAGACUGAAUUUACGGUGUAGCAGUGAAAUGCGUAGAGAUCAUGAGGAAGACCAGUAGCGAAGGCGGGUCUCUGGACAGUUCCUGACACUGAGACACGAAGGCCAGGGGAGCAAAACGGG